GGGCUCUUAGCUCAGUUGGUUAGAGCGCCACGUUUACACCGUGGAUGUCGGGGGUUCGAAUCCCUCAGGGCCCACCG
rnacentral:tRNA from 1 species